rnacentral:rRNA from 1 species
AAUCAACGCUGGCGGCGUGCCUCAGACAUGCAAGUCGAACGAUUAAAGCUCUCUUCGGAGAGUGUAUAGAGUGGCGCACGGGUGAGUAACACGUAAGUAAUCUACCUUCGAGUGGGGAAUAACGUCCGGAAACGGACGCUAAUACCGCAUAAUGCAGCGGCAUCGCAAGAUGACAGUUGUUAAAGAUUUAUCGCUUGAAGAGGAGCUUGCGGCAGAUAGCUAGUUGGUAAGGUAAUGGCUUACCAAGGCUACGAUCUGUAACCGGUCUAAGAGGACGGUCGGUCACACUGACACUGAAUAACGGGUCAGACUCCUACGGGAGGCAGCAGUCGGGAAUUCUGGG